GAUAAACGCUGGCGGCGCACAUAAGACAUGCAAGUCGAACGGACUUAACUCAUUCUUUUAGAUUGAGAGCGGUUAGUGGCGGACUGGUGAGUAACACGUAAGCAACCUGCCUAUCGGAGGGGAAUAACAGUGAGAAAUCAUUGCUAAUACCGCAUAAGCUAGUAGCAUCGCAUGAUGUAGCUAGAAAAGGAGUAAUCCGCUGAUAGAUGGGCUUGCGUCUGAUUAGCUAGUUGGUGGGGCAACGGCCUACCAAGGCGACGAUCAGUAGCCGGACUGAGAGGUUGAACGGCCACAUUGGGACUGAGAUACGGCCCAGACUCCUACGGGAGGCAGCAGUCGGGAAUAUUGCGCAAUGGAGGAAACUCUGACGCAGUGACGCCGCGUAUAGGAAGAAGGUUUUCGGAUUGUAAACUAUUGUCGUGAGGGAAGAAAUUGACAGUACCUCAGGAGGAAGCUCCGGCUAACUAUGUGCCAGCCGCCGCGGUAA
rnacentral:rRNA from 1 species